rnacentral:rRNA from 1 species
AGCACAGCAGUAGCAAUACUGUGGGUGGCGAGUGGCGGACGGGUGAGGAAUACAUCGGGACCUGCCCAGACGUGGGGGAUAACGUAGGGAAACUUACGCUAAUACCGCAUACGUCCUACGGGAGAAAGCGGGGGAUCGCAAGACCUCGCGCGGUUGGAUGGACCGAUGUUCGAUUAGCUAGUUGGUGGGGUAAUGGCUCACCAAGGCGACGAUCGAUAGCUGGUCUGAGAGGAUGAUCAGCCACACUGGGACUGAGACACGGCCCAGACUCCUACGGGAGGCAGCAGUGGGGAAUAUUGGACAAUGGGCGCAAGCCUGAUCCAGCAAUGCCGCGUGUGUGAAGAAGGCCUUCGGGUUGUAAAGCACUUUUAUCAGGAGCGAAAUACUACCGGCUAAUACCCGGUGGGGCUGACGGUACCUGAGGAAUAAGCACCGGCUAACUUCGUGCCA